rnacentral:tRNA from 1 species
GCCUGGGUGGCUCAGUCAGUUAAGCAUCUGACUUCGGCUCAGGUCAUGAUCUCCAGGUAUGUAGGUUUGAGUCCCGCAUCAGGCU